GGAAAUGAUGAUUGUUAUUGUCGCCCCAGUCUUACAAGCAUCUUCAUUAGAUGUCUUAUUUGUGGUGAUUGACACAUCUGAUCC